GAGGGAAAGGCGAAAAGAACCCCGGCGAGGGGAGUGAAAAAGAACCUGAAACCGUGUACGUACAAGCAGUGGGAGCCCCACCACUAAGCCAGUGGUGAACUCCACAUCCGCAUCCUUUGCUGAGGAUACGGUUAACGGAGCGAAAGCGACGUUCAACCGCAAAACAAGCAGAGGGGGCUUAGUGGUGGGGUGACUGCGUACCUUUUGUAUAAUGGGUCAGCGACUUAUAUUCUGUAGCAAGGUUAACCGAAUAGGGGAGCCGGAGGGAAA
rnacentral:rRNA from 1 species